CUAUAAUGCUUAUACAUAACGAUUUAUUACCGUUAUGUAUGAGGAUUUUUCCGUUAUGUUUUGUAUUUUUUUUGUUUUUUUUCUAUCAUAGUUAACAGUUUUUUUACUUUUUAUAACGGUUUUUACCGUUAUCUUUGAUAGAAAUACAUAACGAUUUUUUUGUACUUUUUAUACUGUUAUGUAUUUCAACUACAACUAGCAUAUUUAAUAUUUUUUUCUCGAUUUUUAUGUUAUUUAUCUCAAGAAAUAAAU
rnacentral:lncRNA from 1 species